rnacentral:rRNA from 1 species
ACAUGCCUACAACAUAGAGUUAAUGCAUCAGAUCCCAUUAGAACUCUGCAGUUAAGCACACUUAGGCUAGAGUAGUACUGGGAUGGGUUAUCGCUUGGGAAGUCCUAGUGUUUUACAUGCC